AUUGAGCGCUGGCGGCAGGCCUAACACAUGCAAGUCGAACGAGUGGCGGACGGGUGAGUAAUGUCUGGGACACUGCCUGAUGGAGGGGGAUAACUACUGGAAACGGUAGCUAAUACCGCAUACAAUCGGAUGUGCCCAGAUGGGAUUAGCUAGUUGGUGGGGUAACGGCUCACCAAGGCGACGAUCCCUAGCUGGUCUGAGAGGAUGAUCAGCCACACUGGAACUGAGACACGGUCCAGACUCCUACGGGAGGCAGCAGUGGGGAAUAUUGGACAAUGGGCGAAAGCCUGACCGAGCCACGCCGCGUGGGUGAAGAAGGUUUUCGGAUCGUAAAGCACUGUAAUUUGGGAGGCGUUACCUACCCAAAAAGCCACGGCUAACUACGUGCCAGCAGCCGCGGUAAUAC
rnacentral:rRNA from 1 species